rnacentral:rRNA from 1 species
CGUUUACGGAAUAACCUGCCGAAAGGCGGGCUAAUACUGGAUAGAGCGAUGGAAGUCAUAAUGACUUUUUCGGGAAAGGGAGCUUGAUAAGAGCCCUCGCUUUAAGAUGAGCCUGCGUCUGAUUAGUUAGUUGGUGAGGUAACGGCUCACCAAGACGAUGAUCAGUAGCUGGUCUGAGAGGAUGAUCAGCCACACUGGAACUGAAACACGGUCCAG